AACCAUUCUCACCUGCGGCUAGACCUGCGGAAGGAUCAUUACAAGUGACCCCGGUCUAACCACCGGGAUGUUCAUAACCCUUUGUUGUCCGACUCUGUUGCCUCCGGGGCGACCCUGCCUUCGGGCGGGGGCUCCGGGUGGACACUUCAAACUCUUGCGUAACUUUGCAGUCUGAGUAAACUUAAUUAAUAAAUUAAAACUUUCAGCAAUGGAUCU
rnacentral:misc_RNA from 1 species